rnacentral:rRNA from 1 species
UGGGCGUAAGCGUGCGUAGGCGGCUUUUUAAGUCGGAUGUGAAAUCCCUGAGCUUAACUUAGGAAUUGCAUUCGAUACUGGGAAGCUAGAGUAUGGGAGAGGAUGGUAGAAUUCCAGGUGUAGCGGUGAAAUGCGUAGAGAUCUGGAGGAAUACCGAUGGCGAAGGCAGCCAUCUGGCCUAAUACUGACGCUGAGGUACGAAAGCAUGGGGAGCAAACAGGAUUAGAUACCCUGGUAGUCCAUGCCGUAAACGAUGUCUACUAGCCGUUGGGGCCUUUGAGGCUUUAGUGGCGCAGCUAACGCGAUAAGUAGACCGCCUGGGGAGUACGGUCGCAAGACUAAAACUCAAAUGAAUUGACGGGGGCCCGCACAAGCGGUGGAGCAUGUGGUUUAAUUCGAUGCAACGCGAAGAACCUUACCUGGUCUUGACAUAGUAAGAACUUUCCAGAGAUGGAUUGGUGCCUUCGGGAACUUACAUACAGGUGCUGCAUGGCUGUCGUCAGCUCGUGUCGUGAGAUGUUGGGUUAAGUCCCGCAACGAGCGCAACCCUUUUCCUUAUUUGCCAGCGGGUUAAGCCGGGAACUUUAAGGAUACUGCCAGUGACAAACUGGAGGAAGGCGGGGACGACGUCAAGUCAUCAUGGCCCUUACGACCAGGGCUACACACGUGCUACAAUGGUCGGUACAAAGGGUUGCUACCUAGCGAUAGGAUGCUAAUCUCAAAAAGCCGAUCGUAGUCCGGAUUGGAGUCUGCAACUCGACUCCAUGAAGUC